CUACGUGCCAGCAGCCGCGGUAAUACGGAGGGUGCGAGCGUUAAUCGGAAUAACUGGGCGUAAAGGGCACGCAGGCGGUGACUUAAGUGAGGUGUGAAAGCCCCGGGCUUAACCUGGGAAUUGCAUUUCAGACUGGGUAACUAGAGUACUUUAGGGAGGGGUAGAAUUCCACGUGUAGCGGUGAAAUGCGUAGAGAUGUGGAGGAAUACCGAAGGCGAAGGCAGCCCCUUGGGAAUGUACUGACGCUCAUGUGCGAAAGCGUGGGGAGCAAACAGGAUUAGAUACCCUGGUAGUCCACGCUGUAAACGCUGUCGAUUUGGGGGUUGAGCUUUAAGCUUGGCGCCCGUAGCUAACGUGAUAAAUCGACCGCCUGGGGAGUACGGCCGCAAGGUUAAAACUCAAAUGAAUUGACGGGGGCCCGCACAAGCGGUGGAGCAUGUGGUUUAAUUCGAUGCAACGCGAAGAACCUUACCUACUCUUGACAUCCAGAGAACAUUC
rnacentral:rRNA from 1 species